rnacentral:rRNA from 1 species
AACGAACGCUGGCGGCAUGCCUAACACAUGCAAGUCGAACGGGAUCCUGGCUUCGGCCAGGUGAGAGUGGCGGACGGGUGAGUAACGCGUGGGAACCUGCCCAUUGGUCUGGGAUAACUGCGGGAAACUGCAGCUAAUACCGGAUGUACCCGAGAGGGGAAAGAUUUAUCGCCGAUGGAGGGGCCCGCGUCAGAUUAGGUAGUUGGUGAGGUAACGGCUCACCAAGCCUACGAUCUGUAGCUGGUCUGAGAGGAUGAUCAGCCACACUGGGACUGAGAUACUGCCCAGACUCCUACGGGAGGCAGCAGUGGGAAUAUUGGACAAUGGGGGCAACCCUGAUCCAGCAAUGCCGCGUGAGUGAUGAAGGCCUUAGGGUUGUAAAGCUCUUUUACCAGGGACGAUGAUGACGGUACCUGGAGAAUAAGCCCCGGCUAACUUCGUGCCAGCAGCCGCGGUAAU